GCAUUAAUGGGGUAGUGGUAACCUGGGUCGUUGCCAUUUGAGAAUGAUCUCGACCCGCCGGGGGUUCAAUUCCCUCUUAAUGCA
rnacentral:tRNA from 1 species